GCAAGUGUAAAAGAUAACAGAUGAAUCAGACAGAUGAAAAGAUGCACAAUAAGGUUCACUAAAAUAAUUAAAUCAGGAAAUGAGGUAAGGACCAAAUAAAAUCAAGAUAAAAGGCCUCUAAUAAAUGGCAUAUGAGAUGAACAAGGGAGGAUCAAAAUAUCUCUUCAAUUGCCAUAAGCAAUCCCUAAGUCAAACAUCGAUCAUAAAGAAGUCAACUGAAAAUUCGAGUCAACUUAAU
rnacentral:lncRNA from 1 species